rnacentral:rRNA from 1 species
CGAGAAUCUUCGGCAAUGGACGAAAGUCUGACCGAGCAACGCCGCGUGAGUGAAGAAGGUUUUCGGAUCGUAAAACUCUGUUGUUAGAGAAGAACAAGGAUGAGAGUAACUGUUCAUCCCUUGACGGUAUCUAACCAGAAAGCCACGGCUAACUACG